rnacentral:pre_miRNA from 1 species
UGUUAAUCAGUGCUUUAAGGAUAUUUGUUAAGGAUUUAAUUUUCUUAACAAGUGUCCUUAGGGUGCUUGUUAGCAU